GGAGAAGCCUGGUUUGAGUGAGUUUUUCCUGAAGCAAAAGGGAAGAGCUUAAUUUCAAAAGGAAUAUCUUGAAAGACCCAUCAACUCACCAUUAGAAAACAUGAAACGACAGAUUAUAUCCUAAGAUUGUGUGAACCUCUUACCUGGAAACCCGUACAAUUGCUUUGUCUACCAAUCCUAAACUAUUAUAUCUUGAUCUUUACUCAAUCCUAAUUACACACCCACAUUGAAAGACCUAUCUUAAUUCAGACUUCAAAAUCUUACAAACGUCCAAGUCCCUCCUUUGAAAUGCUACUAAGACUGCAGUAAGAAUACAUAGCAUGCAGUGACUGAGAGGAAGAGAGAUACUAACACUUGAAGUAAUCCAGUCUAUCAAUAGGGGAUGGACUACUUCAAUUUAAAGCGAUUUACAAAAGGAUUUGGAUACCUCAUCUCUCCUGUUUCGCCAAGGUCUUGACUUAUCGCUGCAGAUGACUAAACCCAUUGAGAUAAAUCUCCU
rnacentral:lncRNA from 1 species